UGAGGAAUAUUGGUCGAUGGGCGGGAGCCUGAACCAGCCAAGCCGCGUGAGGGAAGAAGGCGCUCAGCGUCGUAAACCUCUUAGCCGGGGAACAAAGAGCUUCUCGUGAAGGAGCGUUGAGCGUACCCGGAGAAUAAGCAUCGGCUAACUCCGUGCCAGCAGCCGCGGUAAUACGGAGGAUGCGAGCGUUAUCCGGAUUUAUUGGGUUUAAAGGGUGCGCAGGCGGACGCGCAAGUCUGCGGUCAAAUUCCGGGGCUCAACCCCGGACCGCCGUGGAAACUGUGCGACUAGAGUGGGCGAGAGGCAUGCGGAAUGCGCGGUGUAGCGGUGAAAUGCUUAGAGAUCGCGCAGAACUCCGAUUGCGAAGGCAGCAUGCCGGCGCCUUACUGACGCUCAUGCACGAAAGCGUGGGGAUCGAACAGGAUUAGAUACC
rnacentral:rRNA from 1 species